rnacentral:rRNA from 1 species
AACGAACGCUGGCGGCAGGCCUAACACAUGCAAGUCGAGCGAGGACUUCGGUUCUAGCGGCGGACGGGUGAGUAACGCGUGGGAAUGUGCCCUUCUCUACGGAAUAGCCCUGGGAAACUGGGAGUAAUACCGUAUACGCCCUAUUGGGGAAAGAUUUAUCGGAGAAGGAUCAGCCCGCGUUGGAUUAGGUAGUUGGUGGGGUAAUGGCCUACCAAGCCGACGAUCCAUAGCUGGUUUGAGAGGAUGAUCAGCCACACUGGGACUGAGACACGGCCCAGACUCCUACGGGAGGCAGCAGUGGGGAAUCUUAGACAAUGGGGGCAACCCUGAUCUAGCCAUGCCGCGUGAGUGAUGAAGGACUUAGGGUUGUAAAGCUCUUUCAGCUGGGAAGAUAAUGACGGUACCAGCAGAAGAAGCCCCGGCUAACUCCGUG